GGGUGCGUAGCUCAAUUGGAUAGAGCGUUAGAUUACGGCUCUAAAGGUUGGGGGUUCGACUCCUCCCGCGCUCACAA
rnacentral:tRNA from 1 species